GUACUCGUUUCAGCGAUACAUACAGUGAAAUUGGAACAAUACAGAGGAGCUUUGCAUCGCUCCUGCGAAGAGUGGCACAAAAAAUCGUGAAGCGGUACAGUUUUUU
rnacentral:snRNA from 1 species